rnacentral:rRNA from 1 species
AUUGAACGCUGGCGGAAUGCUUUACACAUGCAAGUCGAGCGGCAGCGCGGGGCAACCUGGCGGCGAGCGGCGAACGGGUGAGUAACAUAUCGGAACAUACCCAGUCGUGGGGGAUAACACAGCGAAAGUUGUGCUAAUACCGCAUACGUCCUGAGGGAGAAAGCGGGGGAUCGCAAGACCUCGCGCGAUUGGAGUGGCCGAUAUCGGAUUAGCUAGUUGGUGAGGUAAAGGCUCACCAAGGCGACGAUCCGUAGCUGGUCUGAGAGGACGACCAGCCACACUGGAACUGAGACACGGUCCAGACUCCUACGGGAGGCAGCAGUGGGGAAUUUUGGACAAUGGGCGAAAGCCUGAUCCAGCAAUGCCGCGUGCAGGAAGAAGGCCUUCGGGUUGUAAACUGCUUUUGUACGGAGCGAAAAGGUCCUUUCUAAUACAAGGGGCUCAUGACGGUACCGUAAGAAUAAGCACCGGCUAACUACGUGCCAGCCGCCGCGGUAA